UGUGCUUCAAUAAUCAAUAUUUACCAACGUUAAAUGGUAACAACUCUAUAAUACAGUUCUGUGAAGAUAUCACACAUAUAUUUUGUCACAAAACGUUUGGAACGGGUGUAUCGAUAUGUAAAAUCCGAUGGGUCUCAGCAUUUUUUAUGGGUUUUUAAAACAGGGACAGAUGUAAGUUUAUUCCAUAAGUGGUUUCCAAUUUAUAUAAUAGAAAACAACACUGAGAGAUCAAUGAGACUGACAAUCUGCAAAAACGAGAAAACAUCCCAAAAUUCAGUUUUAAACUUUCGAAAAGAGAAAGUGAAGCCAUGUUAUCAAGAAAUAGGUUAAUUAUAUUUCACUGGCAAAUACAACAGAAAUUCUUGUUCUUAGCAUGUCAUACACCUGAAAUCAACUUUG
rnacentral:lncRNA from 1 species